GGCAGACUAUUGCAAAAAGGGCACGGGGCAGAGGGACUAUGUUGUGAGCCUGCGAAAGAAGUUUGUGUGGGGACUGUGGGCAGUGAACGCGUUGGGAACAAUAUGGAAAACUGGGAGCCGCCUUGGAAUCUACAGGGCCGGGCUGAAGAAAAGAAGAAUGGUAUUCACGCAGUUCCCAUUUUACAGAUGAAAACAAGAGGACUUUUUCUGUGAAGUCAAGAAAGUGGUUACAAUGGUACUUUCAGCCUGUCCGAAUUAUGUAUUGCCCCUCCCCUUUUUAUUAAUAACAUUGAAGUGUGAUGGGACAACCACUGAAGCCGUCAGUUGAAACCUGCUGGGACUUUUUAGCCAUUCUCUUCAACAUAAAGAAUGGGUGUUUUUGGAGGGGGUGAGAGGAAUGGGGAAAUGUUGUCAAAGAGUACAAUGUUUUAGUUGAGACAGGAAGAAUAUAUUUUGUUGAGAUCUACAGCACAGCAUGGUGACUGUAGUUAACAAUGAAGUAUUGUGUAUUUCCAAAUUGCUAAGACAAUAAAUUUCAAAUGUUCUCACCACAAAAAA
rnacentral:lncRNA from 1 species